rnacentral:lncRNA from 1 species
GAUGGUGUUGUUGGAGAGCGAGCAGCUCCUGACGGAGCUGACCAGACUUUUCCAGAAGUGCUGGACAUCAGGCAGCAUCAUAUCACCUUGAAGAAGUAUGACAGUCGAACCAAAUCCAUUCCAAAGAAAGGUACUGUGGAGGGCUUUGAGCCUGCAGACAACAAGUGUCUGUUAAGAGCUACCGAUGGGAAAAAGAAGAUCAGCACAGUGGUGAGCUCCGAGGAAGUGAAUAAGUUUCAGAUGGCUUAUUCAAACCUCCUGAGAGCUAACAUGGAUGGGCUGAAGAAGAGAGACAAAAAGAACAAAACUAAGAAGACCAAAGCAGCAGCAGCAGCAGCAACAGCAGCAC